UUAAUUUUCAGUCACAGUUUAGAAUCACUGCAGCCUAUAGAGCUGCCAUUCAGCUUCCGAAGGUCAGAACUUCCAAUUUCUAAAAUCCCCAGAGAAUCAGCCUUUUGGGAGCACUGAGUAUAUGAGCACUAAAAAUACAAAAAUGGCUAGAAAAUAAUCCUAGUCCUUGAAUUCCUCACGAUGUAAAGAAACACAUGCAUAAAUAACUGCAAUUCAGUGUAAUUGCUGCUAUUAUAAGUGUGUGCACCAGGUGAUAUAGCAGUGGAGGGGAAAACCAACAUUCAAGGUAUCAAGAUGAAUUGUUUUAAAUCUGGAAUUUCAGAAAAAAUUAUACUGUUUCAUUUAUUCAUUUGUACACUUAUUUAAUUAUUUAUUCAACAACUAUUCAGUGACUACUAUUUUCCAAGUAUUAUCUUAUUUUCCUUCUCAUAAACUAUGAAAGGUGAUUAGAAAUAAGAAGAGUGCAUCAGUCAGUUAUUGCUGUAUAAAAAACUACCACCCAAUUCAAGUGACUUAAAACUACGACUAUUUAUUUGCUCAUGGGUUCCACAGAUUGGCAAUUUAGACUGAGUUUAGAAGUGUCAUGAGAAAAGCAGGUUUGAGUCACAGAAUAACCUGUUAAGAUAUUUGAAGAAAGUGAGAUUUGAUAAUGAUGCCACUGCACUUGCCUGCAAAAUUGAAUGUUUAAUAGAGUGAACUGUGAACUGUUUCUUUAAAAAAAAAGAAAAAGAAGAAGAAAGAAAGAAAAGAAGAAAAAAAGCAGAUUGAUACAUUGUAGAAAUCUUUAGUGGAGAAAGCACUAGAACAGACUAUCAGAGUUGGGACACCAAUUUUCUGCUCAUUCUAUCCACUGUUAUUUCCUAACUGUAAAUAGAGAAGGGAUGAGCUAUUCCUCAUACCAUAAGAGUCUCCCACUAGAGACCUCUUCCUCACUCACCAGGACAACAAUCCAGAAGCAGGGUAAAGAAAUCUCAUGAACUGAUACUAAUCUCCAACAUAUAUUAAAGAGAGCGGUGAUGCAGGAACAGGAACCCCACAAGGUAUGGAUUCCUACAGUUUCCCCACUCUCCUCUGGAGUCCUGGUACUUCCACAAGUAGACUGGAGAUUUGGAGGAGGGGAGGCUCA
rnacentral:lncRNA from 10 species